CUUUCAUAUACAUUUGAUAAAAUUUACUGUUUGCAAUAGCAUGAAUUGUUCUAUAAUAAGAAUGUUCUUAUCCCGGGCAUAAAAACAAUGCCGUAUUUGGCGAAACCUUUUCAACUUUUGAUCUUCAGUGCUGUACAACUUUGUACUUUUUUCACUUUCGAUCUUUUAUAUCUGGGCGUCACUGUUGAUUUUUGUGUGGACAAGGCGCGUUUUUGGCGUAUUGAAUUUUAAACCUGAUGCUUUUUGUUAUCUAUUAAUCAUGUUUUUCUAUGUCUAAUAUGUUCUCCUAUUUAUUUGUAUUGUAGUCCUGUAAUAUUAUGUUGUCAUCUCAAUGUUAUAUUUAACUUUGCCAUUAAAGUGCGAGGUUUGGCAUGCCACAAAACCAGGUUCAACCCACCACUUUUAUUCCCCUUUAAAAGUGUCCUGUACCAAGUCAGUAAGAUGGCCAUUGUUAUAUUAUUGUUCGUUUAUGUGUGUGUUGCAUUUUAACGUUGAGUCGUUUGUGUUUUCUCUUAUUUUAGAGAUAUUGAGAUAAGACGUGGCACAGUACUUGUCUAUCCCAAAUUCAUGUAUUUGGUUUUCAUGUUAUAUUUGUUAUUCUCGUGGUGUUUUGUCUGAUGCUUGGUCCUUUUCUUUUUUUUUUUUUUUUUUUCAACUUUAAAUAUUUUAUUUCAUUCCUGGUUGUGAACAAUGUCCCUUAGCGCUACAACAAUGACGCUAAGGUUCCUCCCUGUGUUGUUAAUUGCUAAUGAAACCAGGGGAUUUGAUUAGCAAAAUAUACUUAUAUUUAUAUCUUGUGUUAGUUGCAUUUUACAAAGUAUUCAUACGAGCACACAAUACAUACAUAUUAUUCAGUGAUCCUAUAUAUAAACAAUCAUAUGAGAAAGAAAUUAUAAUAAAAAAAAUAAAAAAAGACGGAUUUUUGUCCGUCAUUUGUUUUGAUUAUAUAAAACUAGUUUAACCGAAAGUAGAAUGAUCAAGAAUG
rnacentral:lncRNA from 1 species